rnacentral:rRNA from 1 species
GACGAACGCUGGCGGCGUGCUUAACACAUGCAAGUCGAACGGAAAGGCCCUGCUUUUGUGGGGUGCUCGAGUGGCGAACGGGUGAGUAACACGUGAGUAACCUGCCCUUGACUUUGGGAUAACUUCAGGAAACUGGGGCUAAUAUCGGAUAGGAGCUCCUGCUGCAUGGUGGGGGUUGGAAAGUUUCGGCGGUUGGGGAUGGACUCGCGGCUUAUCAGCUUGUUGGUGGGGUAGUGGCUUACCAAGGCUUUGACGGGUAGCCGGCCUGAGAGGGUGAACGGGCACAUUGGGACUGAGGUACGGCCCAGACUCCAACGUGAGGCAGCAGUGGGGAAUAUUGCACAGUGGGCGGAAGCCUGAUGCAGCAGCGCCGCGGGCGGGAUGACGGCCUUCGGGUUGUAAACCGCUUUCGCCUGUGACGAAGCGUGAGUGACGGUAAUGGGUAAAGAAGCACCGGCUAACUACGUG